rnacentral:sRNA from 1 species
UGUUUGCAGAUUAUGAGGUGUUUGUCAUCCAACCCAGCCAGGAUAAGGAAUCCUGGUUUACCAACAGGGAGCAAAUGCAAAACUUUGAUAAAGCAUCUUUUCUGUCAGAUCAGCCUGAGCCCUACCUGCCCUUCCUUUCAAGAUUCCUGGAGACCCAGAUGUUUGCAUCUUUCAUUGACAACAAAAUAAUGUGUCAUGAUGAUGAUGAUAAAGACCCUGUGCUCCGGGUAUUUGAUUCCCGAAUUGACAAGAUCAGGCUGUUGAAUGUUCGGACACCCACUCUCCGUACAUCCAUGUACCAGAAGUGUACCACUGUGGAUGAAGCAGGUAAGGCCUCCUUGGAACUGUACAUUCUAGCCUCUUGGAUUAUGUCAUUAACAUGUCCCUUUUCCUAAAUAUGCCAGCCUCUUUAUCUGUUUCUGCCUUUGUGUAUGUGGUUCCCAUUGCCUGCAGUCUUCUUCCUUGUUUUUUUUUUUUUUUUCUUUUUUUGCCUGGUUAUCUUCUCAUCCUUUAACACUGUUAGUUAGGAAUGGAUCUCAC